rnacentral:rRNA from 1 species
GAUGAACGCUAGCUACAGGCUUAACACAUGCAAGUCGCGGGGCAGCAUGGGGGUUGCUUGCAAUCCCCGAUGGCGACCGGCGCACGGGUGAGUAACGCGUAUCCAACCUGCCCUUCACCACGGGAUAACCCGGCGAAAGUCGGACUAAUACCGUAUGUUGUCCAUUGACGGCAUCCGAUUUGGACGAAAGGUUUGGCGGUGAAGGAUGGGGAUGCGUCCGAUUAGCUGGACGGCGGGGUGACGGCCCACCGUGGCGACGAUCGGUAGGGGUUCUGAGAGGAAGGUCCCCCACACUGGAGCUGAGACACAGUCCAGACUCCUACGGGAGGCAGCAGUGAGGACUAUUGGUCAAUGAGCGUAAGCCUGAACCAGCCAAGUAGCGUGCAGGAUGACGGCCCUAUGGGUUGUAAACUGCUUUUAUGCGGGGAUAAAGUGGCCCACGUGUGGGUUUUUGCAGGUACCGCAUGAAUAAGGACCGGCUAAUUCCGUG